AGAUGUGAGGACAAUCUGGCUGUGACAUCUGCCACCCCAUUGAUGGCCAGGGUUGAUUUGGCUGAUCUGGCUGGCUAGGCGGGUGCCCCCUCCUGACCUCACUGCUCCAUGUUUGUCUCUCCCAAAGCUAUGAGCUCAGUCGGAGAGGAUGACCUUCCCUGAAUAGAGGAGGACCCAUCUUCAGUCAAGGGUAUACGAGUAGCUGUGCUCCCUUGCUAACACCUCCAAACAAGCUCUCAAAACGUGUGAAUUUAUAGGGGACACCCAAUUCAAACCACCACAUUCUGCCCCUACUUCCCAUAAAGUGAUGACCAUUCAUG
rnacentral:snRNA from 1 species